UUCAGAAUUCCACAGUGGAAGCCCAAAGCUCCUUCCGUAACACAACUGGGCACAGUAGCAGGACGUAUGGUGCAGACAUCUCAAGAUUGGAGAUAGCUCAGCAGGAAAGGGUGCGUACUCCUCCUCCAGAGAAGUGCCUGUAACUCCAGGGGACCUAAGGCCUAGAUCACAGUAGGAAGACUUGAUGAGAAGACGACUACAAUAUGAAGCAAAAACACAAGAUGACAUCUCCAGGAUGUUCCUCAGAGAAGAAAGCACGCUUUUGUCUAAAUAUGGUUUGCUUAAUCUUACUUAAGUUGGUUUAUAAACGAAAAUCAGUCAAAUGAACAAGA